UUGUAUUUUCCAACUGCAAAUUGGUUCCUGAACAUGAAUUACCUAAGACUACUUUUGUUUGUAGCUGUGGCGGUUGCCACUUUGGGCAGCUACUACGCCCAGGCUCAGACAUAUAGGGAUAAGUGAGUUCCACUACUGAGUUUAUGUAAUCCAUGAUUAUCCAUCAGAAAUAAAAAAUUUAAAUAUUUA